GUCGUGAGAUGUUGGGUUAAGUCCCGCAACGAGCGCAACCCUCGUCCCUAGUUACCAGCGGGUUAUGCCGGGCACUCUAGGGAGACUGCCGGUGUCAAACCGGAGGAAGGUGGGGAUGACGUCAAGUCAUCAUGGCCCUUACGUCCAGGGCGACACACGUGCUACAAUGGCCGGUACAGAGCGUCGCCAACCCGCGAGGGUGCGCUAAUCGCUAAAAGCCGGUCUAAGUUCGGAUUGUAGUCUGCAACUCGACUGCAUGAAGCCGGAAUCGCUAGUAAUCGUGGAUCAGCCACGCCACGGUGAAUACGUUCCCGGGCCUUGUACACACCGCCCGUCACGCCAUGGAAGCUGGGGGGACCUGAAGUCGGUGGGCUAACCGCAAGGAGGCAGCCGCCAAAGGUCAAUUCAGUGACUGGGGCGAAGUCGUAACAAGGUAGCCGUAGGGGAACCUGCGGCUGGAUCACCUCCUUUCUGGAGCAUCGAGUAGGCUGACCUUCUUGGGUCAGCAGAAAGAUCUCAGAAGUCGCCCGCACUCGAUCGCUUUCUAGCUCGCAUCACUUCAUCUUGUCGGCCCCUGCGCGGGGCCGACCUGCUCUUUGACAACUGAUGAUGGAUGGUUGUAUGUAGGCCCGCACUCCUGCGCGCAAGCAAAGGAUCUGUGGGCAUGCAUGGGUGUGAGGAAUCAACACCGGUUGCGCGGUCUGUAUUCGCGUAAGACCGACGCAACAGAAACUGGCCUGUAUGGCGGUUUCAAAACGAAUUUGAGAUCAAACGCAAUAAGGCACACGGUGGAUGCCUUGGCAUCGAGAGGCGAUGAAGGACGUGAUAAGCUGCGAUAAGCCUGGGGGAGCUGCACAUGAGCCGUAAUCCCAGGAUGU
rnacentral:sRNA from 1 species